rnacentral:tRNA from 2 species
GGGCUCAUAGCUCAGUUUUGGGAGAGCGCUUGAAUGGCAUUCAAGAGGUCAGGGGUUCGAUCCCCCUUGAGUCCA